CGGAUUAGACCCGAAACCGGGUGAUCUAUCCAUGAGCAGGUUGAAGCAAGGGUAAAGCCUUGUGGAGGACCGAACAGUCAACGGCUGAAAACGUUUCUGAUGACUUGUGGAUAGGGGUGAAAGGCCAAUCAAACCCGGUGAUAGCUGGUUCUCCCCGAAAUAUAUUGAGGUAUAGCCUCAGGGAUUGUCUAACGGAGGUAAAGCACUGAAAAAGCUAGGGGUCCUACCAGAUUACCAAACUUUAUCAAACUCAGAAUACCGUGUAGAUGUACCCUGGGAGUCAGACAGCGGGUGCUAAGGUCCGUUGUCGAGAGGGUAAGAGCCCAGAUCAACAGCUAAGGUCUCCAAAUACAUACUCAGUGGUCAAGGUGGUGGGGUUGUUUAGACAGCCAGGACGUUGGCUUAGAAGCAGCCAUCGUUUAAAGAAAGCGUAAUAGCUCACUGGUCUAAUGACUCUGCGCCGAAAAUGUAACGGGGCUAAGUAUGUUACCGAAGCUUUGAAUUGCACUUUAUGUGUUCUGGUAGGGGAGCGUUCUCUUGUAGGCUGAAGGUGUGUCGUAAGGCAUGCUGGACGAAAGAGAAGUGAUUAUGCUGACAUGAGUAACGAUAAAACAGGUGAAAAACCUGUUCGCCGAAAACCCAAGGUUUUCCGGGUAAAGUUAAUCUUCCCGGAGUUAGUCGGCCCCUAAGGCGAGAGCGAAAGCUGUAGCUGAUGGGAAACGGGUUAAUAUUCCCGUACUUUUAUGAUUGUGCGAUGGAGGGACGCAGGAAGAUAGGCUAUCCGGCUGUUGGAUGCCGGUGCAAGUGUGUAGGAGCAGGAUACAGGCAAAUCCGUAUCCCGAGUCUGAGACACGAGUCCGUGGGCGCAAGCCCUGAAGUAGUUGAGUCUAUGCUGCCAAGAAAAGCUUCUCAGUUUAGGUCAUAAAAACCGUACUGCAAACCAACUCAGGUGGGUGGGAUGAAUAAUCCAAGGCGCUCGAGAGAAUUCUGGCCAAGGAACUCGGCAAAAUAACCCCGUAACUUCGGAAGAAGGGGUGCUCCUUAUUGUGAUAUAUUUGCUUAUGUAGCAUUGAGGAGCCGCAGUGAAUUGGUGGUGGCGACUGUUUACUAAAAACAUAGGUCUGUGCGAAGUCGCAAGACGACGUAUACGGACUGACGCCUGCCCGGUGCUGGAAGGUUAAAAGGAGGGGUCAGCGCAAGCGAAGCUCCGAAUUGAAGCCCCAGUAAACGGCGGCCGUAACUAUAACGGUCCUAAGGUAGCGAAAUUCCUUGUCGGGUAAGUUCCGACCUGCACGAAUGGCGUAACGAUCUCCACACUGUCUCGGCCAGAAACUCGGUGAAAUUGAAGUCGCGGUGAAAAUGCCGUGUACCCGCAGAAAGACGGAAAGACCCUGUGCACCUUUACUAUAGCUUGACAUUGGAUUUUGGGCCUACAUGUGUAGGAUAGGUGGGAGACUGUGAAAUAUGUACGCCAGUAUGUGUGGAGUCAUCCUUGAAAUACCACCCUUGUAUGUCUAAGGUCCUAACGUGACGCCGUGAUCCGGCUCACAGACAGUGUCUGGUGGGUAGUUUGACUGGGGCGGUCGCCUCCUAAAGAGUAACGGAGGCAUACAAAGGUUCCCUCAGGCUGUUUGGAAAUCAGCCGUCGAGUGCAAACGCAUAAGGGAGCUUGACUGUAAGAGAGACAUUUCGAGCAGAUACGAAAGUAGGUGUUAGUGAUCCGGUGGUCCCGUAUGGAAGGGCCAUCGCUCAUUGGAUAAAAGGUACGCCGGGGAUAACAGGCUGAUCGCAUCCAAGAGUUCAUAUCGACGAUGCGGUUUGGCACCUCGAUGUCGGCUCAUCACAUCCUGGGGCUGAAGCAGGUCCCAAGGGUACGGCUGUUCGCCGUUUAAAGUGGUACGCGAGCUGGGUUUAAAACGUCGUGAGACAGUUUGGUCCCUAUCUUCUGUGGGCGUAGGAAAAUUGAAAGGGCCUGUUCCUAGUACGAGAGGACCGGAAUGGACGCACCUCUGGUGGACCUGUUGUCGUGCCAACGGCACAGCAGGGUAGCUAUGUGCGGAAGGGAUAACCGCUGAAAGCAUCUAAGCGGGAAGCCUGCCUUAAGAUAAGUUUUCCCUGAAGGACCGAUGCAGACUACAUCGUUGAUAGGCCGGAGGUGUAAGUAUAGCGAUAUAUUUAGCUGACCGGUACUAAUAGUCCGAUUGUCUUGUUU
rnacentral:rRNA from 1 species